rnacentral:lncRNA from 1 species
AAGUUCUCCCUCCAAUGGAGAACAGAUCUGAGUAGUAAGUAUCUUUGAACAGCGUGGAGAAUCCCCUAAUGGUCCAGGUGAACUUGGGGUUAUAGAAGUUGUCAGCAAUAGAGAAAAGUUCUGAUACUUGAUACGUAGUGGGAAUGGUCACAUCAACACCAAACUCGCAGUGGUCUCCAUCGUAGAGGUAUCCGUUUUUAGGGUCUUUGAAUGUAGCAACAGGGAGGGAAGCUUGCCUCGAACAUAAAUCUUCUCGUAGGGUCUGAACUUCUCAUUCACAUCAAGGUUAAGAUACAUGGACAAGGCUUUUCCUGCUCCCGUGCCACGACCACUUGGAUUCACUUGUAUAGUCCUGAUCAUCACAUUUAAUACUUGUUAACUACUACACGUGCCGCUACUCAAGGAUCUAAAACAGAGCUUUUCUUUUUGAAAUGAUGAACACUCACCAAGUUCUCCCUCCAAUGGAGAACAGAUCUGAGUAGUAAGUAUCUUUGAACAGCGUGGAGAAUCCCCUAAUGGUCCAGGUGAACUUGGGGUUAUAGAAGUUGUCAGCAAUAGAGAAAAGUUCUGAUAUUUGAUACGUAGUGGGAAUGGUCACAUCAACACCAAACUCGCAGUGGUCUCCAUCGUAGAGGUAUCCGUUUGCCGGGUCUUUGAAUGUAGCAACAGGGAGCACUUGAGAGAAUC